GACGAACGCUGGCGGCGUGCUUAACACAUGCAAGUCGAACGGAAAGGCCCUGCUUGCAGGGUACUCGAGUGGCGAACGGGUGAGUAACACGUGGGUGAUCUGCCCUGCACUUCGGGAUAAGCCUGGGAAACUGGGUCUAAUACCGGAUAGGAGCCAUUUUUAGUGUGAUGGUUGGAAAGUUUUUUCGGUGUAGGAUGAGCUCGCGGCCUAUCAGCUUGUUGGUGGGGUAAUGGCCUACCAAGGCGGCGACGGGUAGCCGGCCUGAGAGGGUGGACGGCCACAUUGGGACUGAGAGACGGCCCAGACGCCUACGGGAGGCAGCAGUGGGGAAUAUUGCACAAUGGGCGCAAGCCUGAUGCAGCGACGCCGCGUGGGGGAUGACGGCCUUCGGGUUGUAAACGCCUUUCGCUAGGGACGAAGCUUUUUGUGACGGUACCUAGAGAAGAAGCACCGGCUAACUACGUG
rnacentral:rRNA from 1 species